rnacentral:rRNA from 1 species
ACUCGAGUGGCGAACGGGUGAGUAACACGUGGGUGAUCUGCCCUGCACUUCGGGAUAAGCUUGGGAAACUGGGUCUAAUACCGGAUAGGAGCCAUCUUUAGUGUGGUGGUUGGAAAGUUUUUCGGUGUAGGAUGAGCUCGCGGCCUAUCAGCUUGUUGGUGGGGUAAUGGCCUACCAAGGCGGCGACGGGUAGCCGGCCUGAGAGGGUGUACAGCCACAUUGGGACUGAGAUACGGCCCAG